rnacentral:rRNA from 1 species
CGUGAGCUGUUAGGUUAAGUCCUAGAACGAACGCAACCCUUGAUACAUAUUAAUUUCUUAUGUAUGACCGCCGGUUAUACACCGGAGGAAGGUAAGGAUGACGCCAAGUCCUCAUGGCCCUUAUGGGUUGGGCUACAAAGGUGCUACAAUGGCGACUACAAUCGGUAGCAAUGGUGUGAAUCGGAGCCAAUCCUCAAAAGUCGUCUCAGUUUGGAUUGUUCUCUGCAAUUCGAGAACAUGAAAGUGGAAUCGCUAGUAAUCGCGGAUCAGAAUGCCGCGGUGAAUAUGUACCCAAGCCUU